rnacentral:rRNA from 1 species
UACGGGGGGGGGCAAGCGUUGUUCGGAAUUACUGGGCGUAAAGGGCUCGUAGGCGGCCAACUAAGUCAGACGUGAAAUCCCUCGGCUUAACCGGGGAACUGCGUCUGAUACUGGAUGGCUUGAGGUUGGGAGAGGGAUGCGGAAUUCCAGGUGUAGCGGUGAAAUGCGUAGAUAUCUGGAGGAACACCGGUGGCGAAGGCGGCAUCCUGGACCAAUUCUGACGCUGAGGAGCGAAAGCCAGGGGAGCAAAACAGG